AGUAACUUCAAAACAGACUGCUAAGGGACAGCGUGGGGAGAAGCCGAUGGGAAUAAGACGAAUAUCCACGAGACAAGAAGGGGCCUUGCUGGGGCACAACGCAGCCAGAGAGCACCGAAAAGGCCACGAGGUCUGCAGUACCUGUCAAUAACAUCCUGCAGAGACUCUCGACACUGACAAAGCGUCAACAUCAGCUCACUUGGACUUUCUGAGGAUGAAGCGUAACUGUGUGCUGGCCCGGCCUCCUUCUCACGACGGCCAUCCAGGGACCCACGCCACUGUACCCUUCCGUGGCCAGGCAGGGCACAAAUCCUUAGCAAGUCUCUGCCAUAGACUGGAGCUUGAGAACAGCGCCGCUCGUUGACCAAAUAAAUCUGAUCCAGGCGCUCUUUCAAGAGUCUGGUCUUCUCCUCCUUUAUCAAAAAGUGAUGAAAAACAGUUACUUGAGAAACAGAACGACAAGUUACCGUCUUCACCAAACCCCCUGGAAUUUCCCACCUAUGGGAUCCAGUUCAAUAUCCAAGGUCUUAUGUUACAGGAAAUAGAGAUUGAAAUGCAGCCGACAGCUACAGGAAACAGAAAUGGAAAUGAAGCAGAGAGCACAAGCAUUCUCUUCUCUGUCAAGAUGGGAAGUAUUUCUCAAGACACAAGUGAGUAAUUCUAAUGCCCAGGAAGACUUGCAGAAGGACAUAAAAAAUACAAAAAGAGAUUUUGGCAGUCAUAAGUCCAGUUUCAUUUCUUGUAUUAGGAAAUUUGUGUUUUAAAAUAAGAAUUCAGUAACAUAACUUGAGGAUUCACAGGAGCCUUUAAAUAUCACAACUGAACACAACAAGCAGCUCUUGGAAAGCCACUUGUCCACAUGCACCAGGGUCUCAAGCUCAGGUGCUUACCUGGGUUGGCCCUCCAAUGGGAGAAGCUGGUUUGGAGGCCGUUCCAGGUUCUCCCACAGCCAAGGCAUUCACCGCCACGCGGCCCGGAACGCCAACUACAAAUGCAUAAAGGAAGAGGUGAAAAGGAACGCCAAGUUCGCAGGAUUUCAUCUGCCACCAGCAUGCUCCAUGGAACCUCGCCCUCCACCAGCACACUCCGCAGAAAGUCAUUCUGCAACAGCAUGUCCCCAAGGCCUCCUCCUCCACCAGCACAUGGCUGGAAUGUGCAUGGCUCAAACUUAAAUGCUUUAGAUCUGCCACGGAAGCAUGUUGGCUCCCAGGCCAUGACUGGAGCUGAAUGGAGCCAGGAGUUUAUCCCUUUCCUUUGGGAAGCACUCCAGAGCCACCCAGAAGCAUCCUAGCAUACCUCCAAGGCCCUGGGUGCCCCAUCGCCAUCAGCACGUGGCCACCUCCUAGCCCAGGUGACAGCCUGAUAACUGUGAGGCUUCUGCCUGCCAUGAGCAGCCCAGCCCUGGCAGGAUGUCCACCCAGUCCUCACGACUGCAACAGAGCAAGCCAGUGCCCGUUUCAUAUCCGUUUCCCGGAGCUGCUCCUGACAUGACACCAGCUACCAGCCAGGGCCAACGAGGCAGAAGCCAUGCCACUUAGUGUGGCAGACUUUCCUACAAAGAUGUGGUCAAAGAGGUGUCUGAGUGCUGAAAAGGGGCCCAGGGGUUAAGAG
rnacentral:lncRNA from 1 species